GGUAUCACGGAUUGUGAAUAUGUGUGUGUUUGUGGAAGUGUCCUUGUAUAUGUAUGUAGCCCAGUUUUUGUGCUUGUGUAUAGGAAAUCACUGUUUGAGACCUUGAGUGUAGAGACCCAAUUUUUGUAUUUUUAUACAUGUGUAUGUAUAUAUAAUUUUGAUUCCAAUGCCAGUGUGUGGAUUUUUUUUCCCCACCAUGAAGCAGUUUUCCUUCCAACACAUCAGCUGAAUGUCUUACACCCAUUCUGACACUAUGUAGCUGGCUAUAGUGUCAGCUCCUACAGCUCAGUCCCCAAGCCUGUCGCUAACCCCCACACAAGUCUCCAACAUCAGCUGCCAAUCACAGUCCAGGUUUUCACCUGUGCAUUAGACUGACCAGCAAAUGAUUCCCCUUCUAGGCUUUGGUUAAUUUGCUAGAGUGACUCAUGGAACUAAGAGAAAUAUUUUACUUCCUAGACCACUGGUUAUCAUAAAAGGAUAUAUAACUCAGGAUGGCUAGAUGGAAGAGAUGCAUGGGCCAAAGUACAUGGGAAGGGCCUUGGAGCUUCCAUGUUCCCUGAGCGUGCCACUUUUCCCACACUUCCAUGUGUUUACCCCUCAGCAGCUCUCUAAAAGCCAUCCUUUGGGUUUUUAUGGAGGCUUCAUUACAUGGCCAUGACUGACUAAACCACUGACGAUUAAACUCAAUUUCCAGCCCUUCGCCCCUCCUAGGAGGUCUGGGGUGGAAAUGAAAGUUUCAACCCUCUGAUGCUUCGUUGGUGUCCUGGCAACCAGCCCCCAUCCUAGAGGCUUUCCACAACCAGUCAUCUGAUGAAGGGUUUUCUUGGAGCAAGCUUCUUGGGCUGAGAAAGUCUUCUGAGUACCUGGUGGUGCUGGAACAAGAGGGAUGACCAAGAGAUCCAAGAAUUCUCAAGAUAAACCUGUACCUUAGCAGUUUCUUUGGUGUUUUCUUCAGACCAUCUACCAAGAAUAUAAUUCUUCUUGCUAUUUAGAGGGACUUUGGUGGUAGUUUGGGAAGCUGUGUGGUCUGAAGAAAAAGCUUUAUGCAUCCAGAGACCCCAUGGCUACAGAGAGACCAGAGUUGCAGGGGUCAGAUGUUUUGAAUCCUGAUCAAGCCGUGUUCUGCUCAUUCUCUGAAUGAGGCAACCUUCCCCAAGAGGCCUGUGGACUCGUCUAAGGCAGCGAGUUUGUCCCAGAACUGGGCCUUGUUUGGUUUUAUCAUUUUUCCCCUUGGUUUCAUGAUCUCUGCUGACAUACUGAAGCUAACACUUGCUGUCUGGGAAGGUGAUUUCCCUAAGGAAUUCAUCACAAGAUGGCCCCUCCCAGUCUCAAGAUUGUUAAAUGAACCGAGAAACAGAUGCAGGGACAAAUGAAUGCUGCUAGUUUAAACACACAAAAUUGCGCUUUAAAGACAUUACACUUUUUUAGCAAGUGAAAUUUUGAGAGCAAAGGUUCAAACCAGAAAUGUCUGAUACAGAAAUCACAACGAUAUUCCAGAGCUUGAUCUUAAGCUGUUUUUGCUUAUUUCAUUUAUUCUUUUAUUUAUCCAAUAUUUCCUUUUAAUUUUUAUUAUGUGCCAAGUAUUUUUCCAAGUUGAUGUAAAAUGGUAGAAUCCUAACAAAAUAAAGAUGGUCUCCAGAGUCAUGAAGAUCACAAUGACCCUUACAAGCAAAUAGAAAUAGAGCGCAUACAUUAACACAACAUAUUCAUAUUACAUGACAUUCACAUAAUGUAACGUAUAACACACAACACAUUGUGAUAUAAAGAAUAUUUUCAUCAUCCACUACAUCACAUAAGGUGGGUUGAGAAAGAUUUGUGUAAUUAGGGUAAUGUAAGUUUUGUGUCAUAUUUAAACUGUAAGAAGAGUUCACAUAUCUCUAGAGAUACUCAGAGCCCUCCUUUGGAGCUCCUGAAAUUAUACAUCAGAGAUUUGUGGAGCUGUUGAUUGCGAAAGACAUGCCCUAAAUAGAUGUCAUGAUUAGAGGAACCCAGCUGGAUUUCAAAUAUGAACACCAAACCCAUAUUUCCUCUGAAUUGUAGGUGAUGAUUUACAAUUGAGCUGCUUUCCCUAGGGCAACUCAGUGCUGGACACUGUACACAAGGGGACAACAAAGAUUUAUGAAAAUUAAAGGUUCUCUGGAGCAAUACCAAGGGGAUGAAUAUGUAGCCUUGAAUAAAGUUUUCUAAUAUGCUCACUUAAUGAAUCAGGUUUGAAUCUGUCUACCCCACACACGCAUUUGGGACAGCCCAAAAAGUGAUCCAGACUGACAUGGCAUGAUUAGCUCACUCUGGCCUUGGACUUGAGGAAUGACUUGGGGAAGAGUUGAAUGUGGAGAUGAGAGCAUGGGUCUCUCUGAUUCUUUACUUGUUCUUGCCUGGAUUUAUCUGCUAUCUAUGGUUAUUGAUCCUAGAUGACAACAGAUGGUUCCCAGCUGGGAUCGCCUCUUGUGUGGAUGAUCUCUGUCAUCUAGGUGAUUGAUGAAUAGGGAAGGAGAAGAGAGUGUCAUCUAUUUCAAUCUGACAUUUCGCCCUAACACUAAAUCCUUAAAAAAAGAAAAAAAAAAAAAAAGAAAAGCUUUAUUGAGACAGAUACCAUACAGUUCACCCAUAUAAAGUACACAAC